rnacentral:tRNA from 1 species
GCCUGGGUGGCUCAGUCAGUUGAGCAUCCAACUUCAGCUCAGGUCUUGAUGUCACGGUUUGUGGGUUCGAGGCCCGCCUCAGGCU